rnacentral:rRNA from 1 species
GUGCGUAACGCGUAUACAACCUACCUUCAAGAGGGGGAUAACCCGGAGAAAUUCGGGAUAAUACCGCAUAAUAUGGGGACUUGGCAUCGAGUUUUUAUAAAAGAUUUAUUGCUUGAAGAUGGGUUUGCGUCUGAUUAGUUAGUUGGUAGGGUAACGGCCUACCAAGACGAUGAUCAGUAGGGGUUCUGAGAGGAAGGUCCCCCACACUGGCACUGAGAUACGGGCCAGACUCCUACGGGAGGCAGCAGUAGGGAAUAUUGGGCAAUGGUCGGAAGACUGACCCAGCCAUGCCGCGUGAAGGAUGAAGGGUCUACGACUUGUAAACUUCUUUAGCUAGGGAAGAAAAAGGGAGUGCGCUCUCAAUUGACGGUACCUAGAGAAUAAGCACCGGCUAACUACGUGCCAGCAGCCGCGGUAAUACGUAGGGUGCAAGCGUUGUCCGGAUUUAUUGGGUUUAAAGGGUGCGCAGGCGGCUCAUUAAGUCAGUGUUAAAAUACAGCAGCUCAACUGUUGAACUGGCAUUGAUACUGAUGAGCUUGAGUACAGUGUAGGCAGGCGGAAUUUAUGGUGUAGCGGUGAAAUGCUUAGAUACCAUAAAGAACACCGAUAGCGAAGGCAGCUUGCCGCAGUGAAACUGACGCUCAGGCACGAAAGCGUGGGGAUCAAACAGGAUUAGAUACCCU